rnacentral:rRNA from 1 species
AACGUAGGAGACAAACGUUAUCCGGAGUUACUGGGCGUAAAGGGCGUGUAGGCGGUUUGUUAAGUCUGGCGUGAAAGCUCUCGGCUAAACCGGGAGAGGUCGUUGGAUACUGGCAAACUAGAGGACGGUAGAGGCGUGUGGAAUUCCGGGUGUAGUGGUGAAAUGCGUAGAGAUCCGGAGGAACACCAGUGGCGAAGGCGACACGC